UACGUAGGUGGCAAGUGUUGUCCGGAUUUAUUGGGUUUAAAGGGUGCGUAGGCGGUUUUUUAAGUCAGUGGUGAAAUACUUCAGCUUAACUGGAGAGGUGCCAUUGAUACUGGGAAACUUGAGUACUGAUGAGGUAGGCGGAAUGGACGGUGUAGCGGUGAAAUGCUUAGAUAUCGUCCAGAACACCGAUAGCGAAGGCAGCUUACUAAGGAGUAACUGACGCUGAGGCACGAAAGUGUGGGGAUCAAACAGG
rnacentral:rRNA from 1 species